rnacentral:rRNA from 1 species
UACAGAGGUCUCAAGCGUUGUUCGGAUUCAUUGGGCGUAAAGUGUGUGUAGGUGGCGCCGUAAGUCGGGUGUGAAAUUUCGGAGCUUAACUCCGAAACUGCAUUCGAUACUGCGGUGCUUGAGGACUGGAGAGGAGACUGGAAUUCAUGGUGUAGCAGUGAAAUGCGUAGAGAUCAUGAGGAAGACCAGUGGCGAAGGCGGGUCUCUGGACAGUUCCUGACACUGAGGCACGAAGGCCAGGGGAGCAAACGGG